rnacentral:rRNA from 1 species
AAUCAACGCUGGCGGCGUGCCUAACACAUGCAAGUCGCACGAGAAAGGGUAGCAAUACCUGAGUAAAGUGGCGCACGGGUGAGUAACACGUGAAUUAUCUACCUCCGAGUGGGGAAUAACUGAGAGAAAUCUUAGCUAAUACCGCAUAACACUUACGAGUCAAAGCAGCAAUGCGCUUGGAGAGGAGUUCGCGGCAGAUUAGUUAGUUGGCGGGGUAAUGGCCCACCAAGACGAUGAUCUGUAUCCGGCCUGAGAGGGCGCACGGACACACUGGAACUGAAACACGGUCCAGACUCCUACGGGAGGCAGCAGUGGGGAAUUUUGCGCAAUGGGGGAAACCCUGACGCAGCAACGCCGCGUGGAGGAUGAAAUCCCUUGGGAUGUAAACUCCUUUCGAUAGGGAAGAUUAUGACGGUACCUAUAGAAGAAGCCCCGGCUAACUUCGUGCCAGCAGCCGCGGUAAUACGAGGGGGGCAAGCGUUGUUCGGAUUUAUUGGGCGUAAAGGGUGCGUAGGCGGUUUGGCAAGUCUUGUGUGAAAUCUUUGGGCUCAACCCAAAGUCUGCACAAGAAACUGCCGGGCUUGAGUAUGGGAGAGGUGACUGGAAUUCCGAGUGUAGAGGUGAAAUUCGUAGAUAUUCGGAGGAACACCAGUGGCGAAGGCGGCUCACUGGCCCGGUACUGACGCUGAGGUGCGAAAGCGUAGGGAGCAAACAGGAUUAGAUACCCUGGUAGUCCACGCCGUAAACGAUGAAUGCUAGCCGUUGGGCAGCUUGCUGUUCAGUGGCGCAGCUAACGCAUUAAGCAUUCCGCCUGGGGAGUACGGCCGCAAGGUUGAAACUCAAAGGAAUUGACGGGGGCCCGCACAAGCGGUGGAGCAUGUGGUUUAAUUCGAUGCAACGCGAAGAACCUUACCUGGUCUUGACAUCCUGGGAACCCUGAAGAGAUUCGGGGGUGCCGCAAGGAGCCCAGAGACAGGUGCUGCAUGGCUGUCGUCAGCUCGUGUCGUGAGAUGUUGGGUUAAGUCCCGCAACGAGCGCAGCCCUUGUCCUUAGUUGCCAGCACUUCGGGUGGGCACUCUAAGGAGACCGCCGGUGACAAACCGGAGGAAGGUGGGGAUGACGUCAAGUCAUCAUGGCCUUUAUGACCAGGGCUACACACGUGCUACAAUGGCCAGUACAAAGGGUUGCCAACCCGCGAGGGGGAGCCAAUCCCAUAAAGCUGGUCGUAGUCCGGAUCGGAGUCUGCAACUCGACUCCGUGAAGUUGGAAUCGCUAGUAAUCGCAGAUCAGCAUUGCUGCGGUGAAUACGUUCCCGGGUCUUGUACACACCGCCCGUCACACCAUGGGAGUUGAUUGCACCAGAAGCAGGUAGCCUGACCGCAAGGAGGGCGCCUACCACGGUGUGGUCAAUGAC